CGACCUCAGAGCAGGCGAGACUACCCGCUGAAUUUAAGCAUAUUACUAAGCGGAGGAAAAGAAACUAACAAGGAUUCCCCCAGUAGCGGCGAGCGAACAGGGAAGAGUCCAGCACCGAACCCCGCAGGCUGCCGCCUGUCGUGGCAUGUGGUGUUUGGGAGGGUCCACUACCCCGACGCCUCGCGCCGAGCCCAAGUCCAACUUGAAUGAGGCCACGGCCCGUAGAGGGUGCCAGGCCCGUAGCGGCCGGUGCGAGCGUCGGCGGGACCUCUCCUUCGAGUCGGGUUGCUUGAGAGUGCAGCUCCAAGUGGGUGGUAAACUCCAUCUGAGACUAAAUAUGACCACGAGACCGAUAGCGAACAAGUACCGUGAGGGAAAGUUGAAAAGAACUUUGAAGAGAGAGUUCAAAAGUACGUGAAACCGUUCUGGGGUAAACGUGAGAAGUCCGAAAGGUCGAACGGGUGAGAUUCACGCCCAUCCGGCCACUGGCCUCCGCCCUCGGCAGAUGGGGCCGGCCGCCCGCGCGGAGCAAUCCGCGGCGGGGUCGUGUCCGGUUGCCUUUCCACUCGCCGCGGGGUGGGGCCGUUCCGGUGUGCGGUGGGCCGCACUUCUCCCCUAGUAGGACGUCGCGACCCGCUGGGUGCCGGCCUACGGCCCGGGUGCGCAGCCUGUCCUUCCGCGGGCCUCGGUUCGCGUCUGUUGGGCAGAGCCCCGGUGUCCUGGCUGGCUGCCCGGCGGUAUAUCUGGAGGAGUCGAUUCGCCCCUUUGGGCGCUCGGGCUCCCGGCAAGCGCGCGCGGUUCUUCCCGGAUGACGGACCUACCUGGCCCGGCCCCGGACCCGCGCCGCUGUUGGCUCGGGAUGCUCUCGGGCGGAAUAAUCGCUCCCGUCAGCGGCGCUUCAGCUUUGGACAAUUUCACGACCCGUCUUGAAACACGGACCAAGGAGUCUAACAUGUGCGCGAGUCAUUGGGCUGUACGAAACCUAAAGGCGUAAUGAAAGUGAAGGUCUCGCCUUGCGCGGGCCGAGGGAGGAUGGGGCUUCCCCGCCCUUCACGGGGCGGCGGCCUCCGCACUCCCGGGGCGUCUCGUCCUCAUUGCGAGGUGAGGCGCACCUAGAGCGUACACGUUGGGACCCGAAAGAUGGUGAACUAUGCCUGGCCAGGACGAAGUCAGGGGAAACCCUGAUGGAGGUCCGUAGCGAUUCUGACGUGCAAAUCGAUCGUCGGAGCUGGGUAUAGGGGCGAAAGACUAAUCGAACCAUCUAGUAGCUGGUUCCCUCCGAAGUUUCCCUCAGGAUAGCUGGUGCUCGUACGAGUCUCAUCCGGUAAAGCGAAUGAUUAGAGGCCUUGGGGCCGAAACGACCUCAACCUAUUCUCAAACUUUAAAUGGGUGAGAUCUCCGGCUUGCUUGAUAUGCUGAAGCCGCGAGCAAACGACUCGGAUCGGAGUGCCAAGUGGGCCACUUUUGGUAAGCAGAACUGGCGCUGUGGGAUGAACCAAACGCCGAGUUAAGGCGCCCGAAUCGACGCUCAUGGGAAACCAUGAAAGGCGUUGGUUGCUUAAGACAGCAGGACGGUGGCCAUGGAAGUCGGAAUCCGCUAAGGAGUGUGUAACAACUCACCUGCCGAAGCAACUAGCCCUGAAAAUGGAUGGCGCUGAAGCGUCGUGCCUAUACUCGGCCGUCAGUCUGGCAGUCAUGGCCGGUCCUUGCGGCCGGCCGCGAAGCCCUGACGAGUAGGAGGGUCGCGGCGGUGGGCGCAGAAGGGUCUGGGCGUGAGCCUGCCUGGAGCCGCCGUCGGUGCAGAUCUUGGUGGUAGUAGCAAAUACUCCAGCGAGGCCCUGGAGGGCUGACGCGGAGAAGGGUUUCGUGUGAACAGCCGUUGCACACGAGUCAGUCGAUCCUAAGCCCUAGGAGAAAUCCGAUGUUGAUGGGGGCCGUCAUAGCAUGAUGCGCUUUGUGCUGGCCCCCGUUGGGCGAAAGGGAAUCCGGUUCCUAUUCCGGAACCCGGCAGCGGAACCGAUACAAGUCGGGCCCCUCUUUUAGAGAUGCUCGUCGGGGUAACCCAAAAGGACCCGGAGACGCCGUCGGGAGAUCGGGGAAGAGUUUUCUUUUCUGCAUGAGCGUUCGAGUUCCCUGGAAUCCUCUAGCAGGGAGAUAGGGUUUGGAACGCGAAGAGCACCGCAGUUGCGGCGGUGUCCCGAUCUUCCCCUCGGACCUUGAAAAUCCGGGAGAGGGCCACGUGGAGGUGUCGCGCCGGUUCGUACCCAUAUCCGCAGCAGGUCUCCAAGGUGAAGAGCCUCUAGUCGAUAGAAUAAUGUAGGUAAGGGAAGUCGGCAAAUUGGAUCCGUAACUUCGGGAUAAGGAUUGGCUCUGAGGAUCGGGGCGUGUCGGGCUUGGUCGGGAAGUGGGUCAGCGCUAACGUGCCGGGCCUGGGCGAGGUGAGUGCCGUAGGGGUGCCGGUAAGUGCGGGCGUUUAGCGCGGGCGUGGUCUGCUCUCGCCGUUGGUCGGCCUCGUGCUGGCCGGCGGUGCAGGAUGCGCGCGCCUGCGCGGCGUUCGCGCCCCGGUGCUUCAACCUGCGUGCAGGAUCCGAGCUCGGUCCCGUGCCUUGGCCUCCCACGGAUCUUCCUUGCUGCGAGGCCGCGUCCGCCUUAGCGUGCUCCUCCGGGGGCGCGCGGGUGCGCGGAUUCUCUUCGGCCGCCAUUCAACGAUCAACUCAGAACUGGCACGGACUGGGGGAAUCCGACUGUCUAAUUAAAACAAAGCAUUGCGAUGGCCCUAGCGGGUGUUGACGCAAUGUGAUUUCUGCCCAGUGCUCUGAAUGUCAACGUGAAGAAAUUCAAGCAAGCGCGGGUAAACGGCGGGAGUAACUCCCGCGCUCGGAGUCUGUUGACUUUGAGCGCCUAUGGAGGCCGAUCACUGCAGAAGAGGUUGCGGCCGCCCUGCCGCCCAGAGGCUCCGUUGCCGGCCCUGACGGCCUCUCGCCGGUGCAGCUGCGCCGCCUUCCAGCGGAGGUCACCACCAAACUCCUAAACCUUUUCCUGCUCACCCGCAAGCUCCCCCCUUCCCUCCUCCGAGCCAGGACCUCUUUGCUGCCUAAGACAGCCGCCCCAGCAUCCCCCGCUGACUUUCGGCCCAUCACCGUCUGCUCGGUGCUAGCCCGAACCUUCCAUAAGGUUCUGGCGACUCGCCUUAUGCAGAUGUGUGCUGUGGACGAACGUCAGCGGGCUUUCAUCCCAAGGGAUGGGAUGCUGGAGAACACUUUCCUACUCGACCGGAUACUCGUCGGCGCCGUCCGCCGCUGUCGUUCUGUGUUCAUGGCAUCCCUCGAUGUGUCCAAGGCGUUCGAUUCGUUGGACCAUGCGGCUUUGCGUCCUGUGCUUAAAGCCCAUGGUCUGCCGGACGAAUUCAUUGACUACGUCGAGGGCUGCUAUGCGGACAGCACGACGGUAAUUGCGGGGGGUGGCGACGAGUCCCCGGCCGUGCGGCCAGCAAGAGGUGUUCGGCAAGGAGAUCCUCUGUCCCCUCUCCUGUUCAAUUUCGCUGUUGAUUAUGUUCUAGAUCAGCUGCCCUCACACGUAGGUGUCAAGGUGUUGGGCCGCCAGACGAACGCGGCGGCCUUCGCGGAUGACAUCCUGCUCUUCGCCUCCACGAGGGGGGGCCUGCAGUCCCUUAUCAACGCAGCAGUAGCAGCCCUCGACCAGCUGGGGCUGCGUGUUAACCCGCGGAAGUGUCUCACCCUCGCACUCGUGGCGUCCGGCCGCGAGAAGAAAGUGAAAGUGGAUGCGAGCGUCACCUUCACGGCCGGCGAAACCACCAUGCCGGCGUUGGGAGUGGGUGAGACCUUCCGCUACCUGGGACUGCAGUUCUCCUCCUCUGGGCGGUGUCUCUUCCAUCCGAGGCACCACAUCGAGGAGCAGCUGUCGAUCAUCACGCGGGCGCCGCUGAAGCCGCAGCAGCGGCUCUUUGCACUUCGUGAGGUCCUUCUCCCGGGCCUGUAUCAUGGCCUAGCACUGAGUCGCACCCGCAUCGGUGCGCUCAAGGCCAUGGACAACUGUGUUCGAGCCGCCGUGAGGAGAUGGUUCCGCCUCCCUGCCGACACCCCCUUGGGCUACUUUCACGCUCCAAUUGCCCAUGGGGGCCUUGGGAUUCCAUCAGCCCGCUGGAUAGGGCCAACCCUGAGGCGGGGCAGGCUCCUCACCCUGUUGCAGCUCGAGACCACCACCACCGACGCAGACCUGGGGGAGGCACGACACGAAGUGGCGGCGCUUGAACGACACCUCACGUGGGAGGGCCAUCUGCUGCCAACGGCUGCAAAAGUUGGUGAGAUGUGGGCGGCGCGCCUGCAUAUUUCCUUCGACGGGGCAGCUCUCUCGUCGUCAGCCAGGACAUCAGGCCAACAUAGCUGGGUCGAGGACACCAGUCGCUUCCUGUCUGGCCGUGACUACGUCGCGUGCAUCCGCACGCGCAUUAACGCUAUACCAUCCAAGGCGCGCAGGAGUCGCGGCCGAGACAGGGAGAAGAUGUGUCGCGCAAGAUGCAACGCCGUCGAGACCGCGAACCACGUCGUCCAGGGCUGCGGGCUGACCAGCCGAGCCCGGGUCCGACGACACGACGCGGUUGUGAAAUACGUCGCGCGCGGGCUGGCUCAACGAGGGUUCGACGUGUCUGUCGAGCCACACCUUCGAACACCAGAGGGAGUCCGCAAGCCCGACGUUGUGGCGUCUAAGGACGGCGUGGUGCAUGUCAUCGACGCACAAAUCGUCGGCGACCAUCUUGACACCGACUGGUGUCACCGGCAGAAGGCGGCGAAAUACGACGUCCCGUCGGUGCGGCAAGCCGUCGGCGCUCUCCGACCUGCAGCCAGCAGCAUACAGUUUAGAACAGUGACCCUGAACUGGAGGGGGACUUGGGCACCUACAUCAGCCCGCCAGCUCCUACAACUUGGCUUCCGCAGGCGGGAGUUAAGCACCAUCAGCACGCGGGUGCUCUGUGGAACGAC